rnacentral:rRNA from 1 species
AACGAACGCUGGCGGCAUGCCUAAUACAUGCAAGUCGAACGAGAUCUUCGGAUCUAGUGGCGCACGGGUGCGUAACGCGUGGGAAUCUGCCCUUGGGUUCGGAAUAACUUCUGGAAACGGAAGCUAAUACCGGAUGAUGACGUAAGUCCAAAGAUUUAUCGCCCAAGGAUGAGCCCGCGUAGGAUUAGGUAGUUGGUGAGGUAAAGGCUCACCAAGCCGACGAUCCUUAGCUGGUCUGAGAGGAUGAUCAGCCAAACUGGGACUGAGACACGGCCCAGACUCCUACGGGAGGUAGCAGUAGGGAAUAUUGGACAAUGGGCGAAAGCCUGAUCCAGCAAUGCCGCGUGAGUGAUGAAGGCCUUAGGGUUGUAAAGCUCUUUUACCCGGGAUGAUAAUGACAGUACCGGGAGAAUAAGCUCCGGCUAACUCCGUG